AUUGAACGCUGGCGGCAGGCUUAACACAUGCAAGUCGAGCGGAGCGGCGGACGGGUGAGUAAUGCCUAGGAAUCUGCCUGGUAGUGGGGGAUAACGUCCGGAAACGGGCGCUAAUACCGCAUACUAUCAGAUGGUCCUAGGUGGGAUUAGCUAGUUGGUGGGGUAAAGGCCUACCAAGGCGCCGAUCCGUAACGGGUCUGAGAGGAUGAUCAGUCACACUGGAACUGCGACACGGUCCAUAUUCCGACGGGAGCCAGCAUUGGUGAAUAUUGGACGAUGCGCGAAAGCCUGAUACUGCCAUGCCUCGGUUGUGAAGAAGGUCUUCGGAUUGUAAAGCACUUUAAGUUGGGAAGCGUUACCAACCGAAAAAGCACCGGCUAACUUCGUGCCAGCAGCCGCGGUAAUAC
rnacentral:rRNA from 1 species